rnacentral:lncRNA from 1 species
CUGAAGUGAGCCUACUUGAUUUUUCUAAUAGCAACUCUAACGACUUGGACAUGUUGCUCUACUCAUAAAAUAUAGUUAUGAUCUAUGGAAAACAGUAAGCAAAUUAGAGGAUGAAUUGGAUAACUGCAUGCAUUUUCCUAAAGGCAGACAGAAUGAAAUGUGGAAAAUAUUCAGCCUGAAGAUAAUAGAUAUAAGACACGGUGAACCAUACCAGUAAUAAAUAUAUUAAACUUUUAGGUAAUGAUAAAUCUUACUGGUGAGUUCUGCAGCUACCUCCACAGCAUGUAGAUUCAGCUCUGAGAACAAUUUACCUGCUGAGGACUUAGUAUUUCAUCCUUCAGUAGAUAGAAUUGUUUUCAUCUUACCCUUCCCAGUGGAACAGAGAGGAAAUAUAGUGUGAGCACAUAUGGAGUAAUGCACAAGUACAGAGUGCUUCAUUAUGUGCACGAACAGAAAUGCUUAAAUGGAUGAAGCAGCUAUUUACAUCUGAUAGGAGCUAAGUGGGACAUUAAAUUAAUGCCAAACAAGGAUAUUGGUGUCCUCUGAGUGAACCAUACACAUUGCAGAUUCCAACAUUUGUGAAAGAAAAGAGCUUCUGUCCUUUUGACUGUAAAAGGAAACAAGAAGAUUGCCAGAAAAACUCUGCUUUUUACAGAUCCUCCCAAGGGCAUGAUGUAAUUUCUAAUACCUAAAUUAUGAUCAUUCCUCACACCAAGUAAUAUUAUACUCAGAAAACAUUGACAAAACUGUUUGACAUCUUGUAGACGGCAGUACUACCAGGGUAAAUUCUCAUGGAUUUAAGAUCAGUGCUUUAUUGUACUAGUGCCAAAAGAGUAAUAUCAAUUUGAAUAAUCUAAAAAUUUGUCUCAGUUGGGAGAAGAGUAGCAAAGUUUAGCACACUCUUACUUGAUUAACUCAACAUACUUAUCAGCUCUACUAACUGUUCUUGCAAACCUCAGUUACUUAUUUAGAGGUGCACAGCUGGAAACUACCUCUGUGUUUUGAUUUCCUCCAGUUGCAGGUUAUUUCACAAAUCUCAGGAUGUGGAAGACGGAAAACUUUGACUCUAAAAUGUUGGUCUGUAUUUUCUGGAGUUUCAUCAGCAACAGGA